rnacentral:lncRNA from 1 species
UAGCAUAGAUCUCAAAGUUCUGUAAACUAUUGUACAUCAUACUAAAGCAGUGAAAACUUCAGCCCCCCCCCACCUCAAAGCUAAAUUAAUCCAGAGACUGAAUCUCAUUAUGUCACAAUGUAUGUUCCAGAGCAGAAUUUCUUUGAUUCUCUCUAAAAUUACACUUGAGCUAAAAGGCAUCAUCGCAAUCACAAAAUCUCCUAUCCUGGAGAAAGCUACAAUCUGAGAAAGGAUGCAGGUGUCCUUACGUUGACUAGGGCUCUCGGGACUGGACGAAGAACAGCUGAUCUUGGCUCUGGGCUACAGGUUGGCUGCAGGACCACUCUAUAUGGCUCUCCAUUCUCCUUGAAACGGGAGAUACCUAAGGAAUAUUCUUCUCUUGGUGACUGGCAGGAGUGCAAGAGAACCAAACUGAACCAUUCAAAUUUUUAUUUAUUCAUCGUUGUUCCAUGGAACAGGUUUGGAAAAUACUUCUGUAGAAGAGAGCUUGCAGAAGUCUCCUUUAAUCACUGAAGGAACACCAAUGUUCAGAACAGCAGGAACUAAUUAAUACUGCCUUAGCUGCCUUCGCUUCAGUUCAGAAAUGAUCCAAGAAUCAUUGUUCACCUCAAGCCUUUCCUUCCUUUCAGCUGCUACCCUUCAUAUCAUGCUCAUUUGGCUUUGUGCCUAGAUGCCACUACUUUUGCUCAGUCUCUUGGGACUGAAAACUUGACUUCAGACUUUCAGAUUGGAAGUUCCACAUGGAAGGAGCUUGGAAUUGCAUUUUGUCCUAACAACAAGAGCUAAACAGACUGAAAAAUGAGCUAUUCCUUGGAUCCAUAAGAGGGAGAAAACACAAGGCAAACUGCUGCCCCCAUGGUUGAAGAGUAGACAGAAAAACUGAGAGUAAUGGCUUAGCAGAGCAGAGACGCAGGAGCAGAAAACUUCACCAGAAUCAGUGCUGGGGUAAGAAAAUCUGAUCUGUAAUUGAUAAAUUGCUGGAGACUCAGUGUGGACAAGUUGGAGAAUGAAAAACUCCAAAGGGACCCAGUCAUAGAGAGGUUCCUUCAAUAUUGAGAUUUAUUUCCAGGAGCUAGACUAGAUUUCCAUAGUAAAUAUCAGAGAAAGGUCACCUCCAGUUUCUGAAAGGGGAAGGGGAAAAGAAACCAUUCUGAAAUAUGCCAGAGAACUCCAUUCUCCACAAAGCCUGUCAUCAGGGGAAACUAGUUAACCAGAGCCUAACUUUCUGGGGUAUUAUCAGAGCCUAACUAACUAAUCUGGGAAAAAGAAAUACCUGA